CCUUCGGGUUGUAAACCUCUUUUAGUAGGGAAGAAGCGACUGGGUUUUCCUGGGAGUGACGGUACCUGCAGAAAAAGCACCGGCUAACUACGUGCCAGCAGCCGCGGUAAUACGUAGGGUGCUAGCGUUGUCCGGAAUUAUUGGGCGUAAAGAGCUCGUAGGCGGUUUGUCGCGUCUGCUGUGAAAACCCGAGGCUCAACCUCGGGCCUGCAGUGGGUACGGGCAGACUAGAGUGCGGUAGGGGAGAUUGGAAUUCCUGGUGUAGCGGUGGAAUGCGCAGAUAACAGGAGGAACACCAAUGGCGAAGGCAGAUCUCUGGGCCGUAACUGACGCUGAGGAGCGAAAGCAUGGGGAGCGAACAGGAUUAGAUACCCUGGUAGUCCAUGCCGUAAACGUUGGGAACUAGAUGUGGGGACCAUUCCACGGUCUCCGUGUCGCAGCUAACGCAUUAAGUUCCCCGCCUGGGGAGUACGGCCGCAAGGCUAAAACUCAAAGGAAUUGACGGGGGCCCGCACAAGCGGCGGAGCAUGCGGAUUAAUUCGAUGCAACGCGAAGAACCUUACCAAGGCUUGACAUAUACCGGAAACGGCUGGAAACCGUCGCCCCGCAAGGUCGGUAUACAGGUGGUGCAUGGUUGUCGUCAGCUCGUGUCGUGAGAUGUUGGGUUAAGUCCCGCAACGAGCGCAACCCUCGUCCUAUGUUGCCAGCACGUAAUGGUGGGAACUCAUGGGAUACUGCCGGGGUCAACUCGGAGGAAGGUGGGGAUGACGUCAAAUCAUCAUGCCCCUUAUGUCUUGGGCUUCACGCAUGCUACAAUGGCCGGUACAAAGGGCUGCGAUACCGCAAGGUGGAGCGAAUCCCAAAAAGCCGGUCUCAGUUCGGAUUGAGGUCUGCAACUCGACCUCAUGAAGUCGGAGUCGCUAGUAAUCGCAGAUCAGCAACGUGCGGUGAAUACGUUCCCGGCCCUUGUACACACCGCCAAUCACUAGUG
rnacentral:rRNA from 1 species